rnacentral:rRNA from 1 species
GCUCAUCACAUCCUGGGGCUGAAGCAGGUCCCAAGGGUAUGGCUGUUCGCCAUUUAAAGUGGUACGCGAGCUGGGUUUAGAACGUCGUGAGACAGUUCGGUCCCUAUCUACCGUGGGCGUUGGAGACUUGAGGGAAGCUGUUCUUAGUACGAGAGGACCGGAAUGGACACACCUCUGGUGUUUCGGUUAUGACGCCAGUCGUAUUGCCGAGUAGCUAUGUGUGGAAAGGAUAACCGCUGAAAGCAUCUAAGCGGGAAGCCCCUCCCAAGAUUAGGUCUCCCUGACAGUUUAACUGUCCUAAAGAUCCCUCGGAGACUACGAGGUUGAUAGGCACGGUGUGGAAGAGUAGUGAUACUUGAAGCUAACGUGUACUAAUUGAUCGUGAGGCUUGACCAUAUAACACCCAA